UACUCGUCUAACACUUGAUGAAAUUUUGGCCCGACAAAUUUAUCAAACUGAGAGAAACCUAAAAACCGUCUCUCAGCUCGCUCUCACUCUCAAAAUCCAUCUUCUCUCUUGCACGCUCUUGCUUUCGCAGAAACUUAAAAAUCGUCUCUCAGCUCGCUCUCACUCUCAAACCCAUCUUCUCUCUUGCUCUUGCUUUCGCUCUCGCACACAACAGGAAUCUUCGAACUGAAAACCCAAUCCAAUAUCAAUUUCUUCCAAUCCAACAUCGAACUGAAAACCUAGAAAAAAUCUCAACCAUCUCGCCUUGCAAACUUGAAAACCCCAUUCCAGCCAAAGGAUCUCAGUCUCGAUCCGUAUCCUGGUCUCAAUCUGAAUCCGCAUCUGUCACUGGUGAUUGCAUUGGGCAGCAACACAAGCGGUUUAGGCGGAGGCUGUUAUCUAUUGAAUCCAAAAUAGGAAGAGGAAAGUUCAAGGGCAAGCCCACGGGUCAGUGCCACUUCUGCACUCACGAAGAGAUGGGUAUUCAAUCUCUCUCUCAUUCUUUCACUUUUUCCUCUAUUUCUAUAUCUAUUUGCAAGGUCUCAGUUGCUUGGUGUUUUCUCCACCCACAAAGAGAUGGGUAUUCAAUAGAUGAAUUUGUAAAUGUUUUACGCAUUCUAAUUUUGAAUUUGGGGUCUUCAUCUAAAAGCUCGUACUUCUUUCAUGAAAUUUUCUUCCUUGAAUGAACUUUGGUCCAGAUAAGUUCUAGGUUUCUGGUAGUGAUUUGGCUUGAAGUUUGAUCUACCCAUAUUGGAUUAUUGACUCAAUUGAUUCAAUUCCAAUGGUUUAAUUGUAAUUCCGAAUUGGGAUUAGAUGAUUGAAUUCAUUUCGACCCUUAUGCGGUGAAUAAGGUCAUAUAUACAGUUAAAUUUGUUCUUCCUCACUACUUUAGCUUCGAAAAAAGUAGAGAGACUUGUCUAAAUUUCGUUUUUAAUGUUGAUUAGAGGGUAUACUAUAUACCUUGGUAGGAAAGAUUGUUUCUUUCCACUCAUUUGAUUUUACAUUUAGUGGCACAGUUAUGUAUAUGAUUCCUGAAUAGUUAACAAUAGUAACUGUCUAAACCUAUUAACUUUUUUGAAUAUGUAUAUCUGCUUCCUUAUGUAUUAGUUAUUGUGUGCUUGGUUUCUUUAUGUGGGUGAUCGGUGAAACCCAGUAGUGACUAUUACUGCAAUGUGGAUUUCAUAGUGUUUUGUAAUGCUGUGUUUCUUUAUUCUUGCAUGUUAAUUAAUUAUAUAUUCUGGUGGGAUCUGGUAUCAUAAAUUUCAUAUAUCGACCUAACUAGCUAAUUUAGAUAUAUGGUUAAUUUAAUAAUAACUAGAAUAAACAAAACAAUUCAUACAAAAUGGGUUUGGAAGUUAUUAGUUGCCUUUUCUUUUGCUAUUCGAUCACCUUAUAGAUUGGUCUUUGAUCAUCCCCUUUAUUUCUGCAGUUCUUUAUUAAGUAAAUAGCUAUUUUUCUAUAUUCUAAUAGAUAUGCAGGUUGUUUGAUGGUUAUUGCUUUCUUUUUUCAAUUCUUUUGCCAAUGGUUUUGUUAAUCUCACUUGCCUUGAUCAUGUUGUCAAAGCAUUCUGUAGUCAUGAAGUAUCAAUGUUAAAAUGGGCCAAUUUCCUACAUGUCCUUCAUAGUUUUCUAUUGUAGUCAUGAAGUUUAUUUGUUCCAUUUUUUUACCGGUAAUGAUUAAAUAGUUAUAUCAGUUAGUUGCUUUCACGUUUAGUAUGUUUAGAAAUUUAGAUAGUAUAUUUGUACAUGUUUGGGAAAUCAAAGUCAACCUGCAAAAGCCAAAGACAGAGAAAGAAAUUAGGGAUUGGCUUCUGUGGUUCUUUUGGUUUUUUAUUAGUUCUUAUAUGAGUAUUUCACAAAACUUGUGUGAUCUGACCUGAAUAAGUCUGAUUCAUCAUGUGAAUGGUGUAGUUUUUUGGUGGCUUUUCUGGUGCUAGUAUAUGAUCCAACAUAUUUAGUGAGAAAUAUAUGGCGGCAUGAACAAUUAGUGAGAGAGCAUUGUGUUGAAUAUGUAUAAGGGGUGAGAUGGCUGGACCUGGACGCAUGGCAGCUCUCGAGGAAUGAGGUUUUCCUUUUGAUAUAAUUUGGUGAAUUGACACCUUUCACUCCUCCAAAAUUACAGGUAAAGGAAUGUUUUGUAGUUGUAUUUCUUUAGUUACUUCAUUAAAUACUACUAUUAUCAGAUGGUUGUGCACUCGGGAUUUGUAGAUAAAUGGGAUUAAUUUAGUGAAAACAAUUCUUCAUCCUGCACUAUGCAUUUUGUAUGUGUUCUGCAAUUGUUUUUUUUUGGUUAGUUUUCUUAUGAAACAUGUUAUGUAUAUAGAUGUCUGCAGACAUAUAUGCUUCUGAAUGAUAGCAUUUUUUUGCAUUCUUGAUUUGGAUGGUGGACGUGAAAGGGGUGCUCACUGAUUUGAUGAUUUUUUUUGGGUUACAUGUGGUCAAUUGGAGAAGGAAACAAAUCUUAUCGAGGGAGUUUCAUGGUUAGAUUGUGGCCACCGUGAAAUGCAGGUAAGGAACUGUUGAUAUUAUGUAUUACUGCUGAUGUCAAAGUUUAUAGUAGCUUUAGCAUUUUUUGUUUUUGGUGGCACGAGGUGAUCUUUUUUGGGUUACAUGUGGUCAAUUGGAGAAGGAAACAAAUCUUAUUGAGGGAGUUUCAUGGUUAGAUUGUGGCCACCGUGAAAUGCAGGUAAGGAACUGUUGAUAUUAUGUAUUACUACUGAUGUCAAAGUUUAUAGUAGCUUUGCAUUCAUGGUGGCAUGAGGUGAUCUUUGAAUGGAAAUUCCAAUAGAAGAGAUCUUUUUGGCUCAGAAAGUGAUGAUCUAUAAGUGCAACAUCUAAGGAAAACAUGUUGUCACGACAAUAUACAGAUGUUGGAACUAGUAGUUGUUGAAUAUGUGGAUGAAUUGUACAAGUUCUACAAACUUGAAGAGGAUAACUACCGAGUUGGAGAUUACUUGGACAUUGAUCAAGUCUGGGUUGAAUGGGCAAGCAUGCUGUCAAGUUUCAGAUCACUAGUGUUGUAUGUCUGUGGUAGAUCAGUAGUUAGGAAUCAUUUUGUGCAUAUAGCUAGAACUCACUUUGGUGGCUGUAAUGAUUCAUGAUGAUAUUCAAAUAAAUAGACUAA